AAUAACUAAGAAGAAAUAAUUUUCUAAGUCAGUUGCAAUAACCUUGAAGAUGUUAUGUUCGGGGCCUUUGCAAAUGAUACUUUAGGGUGCGCAGGCAGGAGCUGUGGAGAAGGAAGAAAAGAAAAAGAUGAGGGCAAAAACAAAAUUAAAGCGGUUGUAAAUAAUGAUAUAUUAUUUUAUUAAUUUUUAAAGGGAUUAUGAAUAGUAAUAAGGUUGUGAAUAGUAAGAAAGCGGCUCUAAAUAGUAAGCUCCUAAAUCUUUAGUAAUUGAAUACUUAUAAGUUGCAUUUGUUGCUGAGCUUUCUGGGUUGUUCUUACUUCAGUAAUCUGUUGUUGGGGGAAGGAUGUUGCAGGGGAACUAUAUACUGCACAUAAUCUAUUUCUUUAUCUACUUAAAUUGACUGGUUGAUGGCAAAUCAAUUGGAUGAUACAUGGGUCCAAUAAUAUAAGAGACAAAAGCUACACAUAAACAUUAUUCCUCAUUUGAAUGAUCUCCUCACCCGAUGUUACAUAAAUUCAAUCAUUCACUAUGUAGUUCAGGAGCUUUGGAGGAAAAAAAGAAGUGGCUACCUCAAGCAAUAGAUUCUAUUGCUGAUGUUUCUGAUUGGAAUAGGAUCCUUAUUUUGCUAGUGAGGUUUUCCAAAGCUUUAUUCUCUGAUACACUUUGUACCAUCAACAAGCAUAAUACACAUACCAUUAAUGAUAAUUAUUUGAUGUGCAUUUUUCAAGUGGAUCAUGUACAGGAUACAUGAUAUACAUCUCGACUGCAAGUACCACAAAAAUAUAAAGAUGUGCCAAAGUAUUAGCACUUUUGUGUUUGAAUAAGAUCAGAUCAACUAAAUGCAAGUUUGUGCUCCCGCUAAGCAAUCAAUUGCCUAGAGGUUGUGGCUUGGAUCUUAGGGAGUAAUAAGUUGUCCAUGCUUGUUACUUUAUCCUGGGUUCAUCUAUUAAACAUGAAGAAGUGUCUGUAACUUCAGCUUCUUGCAGCAACCAAACUCCCUUUAAUUGCCUUAGACAUUGCAGCAUCUUUUGAGACUCGUCCCUGUAUUCGCCAUACUAGUGACCCAACUCCUUUUAAUUGCUUUGGACAUCACAGCAUCUUCUGAGAGUCGCCCCUGUAAUCAGCAUACUUCCAAACAAGCAGGCAUUCAGACCGGCCGCAAACACCUCUGAGGUGGAUGAAAUAUUCGAUGUGCCUCUGGAGAUGUUCUUGAAGGAUGAGAACCGGAGGUCAGAGGAAAGAGACUGGAUGGGAGUCAACUAUCUGGUUCAUUACUUUGAUUACAUAGCAGGAAAUAAGAAAUUUGUGAUAUGGGGUCUGACUGCUGGAAUUCUAAUUCGUGUUGCAUCAGUUGUUUAUCGGAGGCCGCCUUCUUUCAUCGAGCAAAUUUCUAAACUAUAGAUCCCAGGUUUUACCAAUGGGAAUUCUUUGGUUCCAGCUACUCAAAUUCCAUUAUGAUGACAAAGCAGUAAAUAGAACUGUAGUAUUAAUUGUAAAUAUCUCAAUGGCUUUCUGAAUCUGUCUGCAGUAUUCUUAUGUUCUCAUUCAAGGGAAAAUUUAUGGAAGUUGUCAAUAAUGUGGCCAGUGAAGUUGUUCCUUGUCUUAAAAUUCUUAAAGCUGGGAAGCUAAUCAAUAAAUAAGCAGGCUAAUUUUAUUUU